rnacentral:rRNA from 1 species
AGAGUUUGAUCCUGGCUCAGGAUGAACGCUGGCGGCGUGCUUAACACAUGCAAGUCGAACGAACCUUCGGGUUAGUGGCGGAUGGGUGAGUAACGCGUGAGAAUCUGCCCUCAGGAGGGGGAUAACGGCUGGAAACGGCCGCUAAUACCCCAUAUGCCGAGAGGUGAAAUGAAUUUCGCCUGAGGAUGAGCUCGCGUCUGAUUAGCUAGUUGGUGGGGUAAGAGCCUACCAAGGCUUCGAUCAGUAGCUGGUCUGAGAGGAUGAUCAGCCACACUGGGACUGAGACACGGCCCAGACUCCUACGGGAGGCAGCAGUGGGGAAUUUUCCGCAAUGGGCGAAAGCCUGACGGAGCAACGCCGCGUGAGGGAUGAAGGCCUCUGGGCUGUAAACCUCUUUUCUCAAGGAAGAAGAUCUGACGGUACUUGAGGAAUAAGCCACGGCUAAUUCCGUGCCAGCAGCCGCGGUAAUACGGGAGUGGCAAGCGUUAUCCGGAAUUAUUGGGCGUAAAGCGUCCGCAGGCGGCCUUGAAAGUCUGCUGUUAAAGCGUGGAGCUUAACUCCAUUUCAGCAGUGGAAACUACAAGGCUAGAGUGUGGUAGGGGCAGAGGGAAUUCCCGGUGUAGCGGUGAAAUGCGUAGAUAUCGGGAAGAACACCAGUGGCGAAGGCGCUCUGCUGGGCCAUAACUGACGCUCAUGGACGAAAGCCAGGGGAGCGAAAGGGAUUAGAUACCCCUGUAGUCCUGGCCGUAAACGAUGAACACUAGGUGUCGGGGGAAUCGACCCCUCCGGUGUCGUAGCCAACGCGUUAAGUGUUCCGCCUGGGGAGUACGCACGCAAGUGUGAAACUCAAAGGAAUUGACGGGGGCCCGCACAAGCGGUGGAGUAUGUGGUUUAAUUCGAUGCAACGCGAAGAACCUUACCAGGGUUUGACAUCCUGCGAAUCCCUUGGAAACGAGGGAGUGCCUUCGGGAGCGCAGUGACAGGUGGUGCAUGGCUGUCGUCAGCUCGUGUCGUGAGAUGUUGGGUUAAGUCCCGCAACGAGCGCAACCCACGUCUUUAGUUGCCAGCAUUGAGUUGGGCACUCUAGAGAGACCGCCGGUGAUAAACCGGAGGAAGGUGUGGAUGACGUCAAGUCAUCAUGCCCCUUACAUCCUGGGCUACACACGUACUACAAUGCUACGGACAAAGGGCAGCAAACUCGCGAGAGCUAGCAAAUCCCAUAAACCGUGGCUCAGUUCAGAUCGUAGGCUGCAACUCGCCUACGUGAAGGAGGAAUCGCUAGUAAUCGCAGGUCAGCAUACUGCGGUGAAUACGUUCCCGGGCCUUGUACACACCGCCCGUCACACCAUGGAAGUUGGCCACGCCCGAAGUCGUUACUCCAACCCGCAAGGGAGGAGGAUGCCGAAGGUGGGGCUGAUGACUGGGGUGAAGUCGCAACAAGGUA